UGAGGUAUAUCUGUGCUUUUCGUGUGGUCAUCUCAUCAUUGCAUGUUCCUAUCUAUGUCCAUUCUUGUCCCAGUAUCCCAGUAACUACUCUUUGAUGGAAUCUUUGUGCUUAAGGCUUCCUGUGUGAAGAAGAGGAACAAAUUAUGCCUUCUAAUAUCUUGGUGGUGGUGGUGAUAACAGAGAAAAGAUUCAGGAGAGGCAAAGGUCCCUGAUUCUACUAACUUCACAGAUGGGGAUAAUGGAAAAUUCCUGGAGGAAUGUGAGUUGGGGGAAGAAGAGGAGGAUGAAGGAGGAAGUAGGAGAAGGGCUCCUCCUCGAAUAGGCAAUUUUUUAAGAGCAAUAUCUGUAUCAGCCAGAGGUCCUCCCAGUAAUCGGGCAGGAGUGCUUUCCACUGUUACUACCCGACCAGAAGGCACCUGACAAAG